UACGGAGGGUGCAAGCGUUAUCCGGAUUCACUGGGUUUAAAGGGUGCGUAGGCGGUCAAGUAAGUCAGCGGUGAAAUCCGGCAGCUCAACUGUCGAUGUGCCAUUGAUACUGCAUGACUUGAGUACUGAUGAGGUAGGCGGAAUUGACGGUGUAGCGGUGAAAUGCUUAGAUAUCGUCAAGAACACCGAUAGCGAAGGCAGCUUACUAAGCAGUAACUGACGCUGAUGCACGAAAGUGUGGGGAUCAAACAGG
rnacentral:rRNA from 1 species